AUCUCUCUCCAUCUCUCUUCUUCCAAGAAGAAGAUCACAAUGAAA
rnacentral:sRNA from 1 species